UGCCCAACACGCGUUAAUAUUAAGCCAUUACAGGGAAGAUAUUGUGGGCCAUGGUGCCAAGUUGUGAUUUUCAAGGGUGGUUUAAGCGCCAAGUGUCUACGAGAGUGCCACAAAGGGUAUGGCCGUAGUAUUCAAGGGCCAUGGACCACCGAAGGGCCAUUAGAGGGAAGAUACUGUGUGCCAUGGUGCCAAGUUGUGAUUUUCAAGGGUGGUUUAAGCGCCAAGUGUCUACGAGAGUGCCACAAAGGGUAUGGCCGUAGUAUUCAAGGGCCAUGGACCACCGAGGGGCCAUUAGAGGGAAGAUACUGUGUGCCAUGGUGCCAAGUGUACGAGGGUGCCACAGAAGGUUAGGUAGACGCCCCUGCCAUGGCCUUACUCAACCAGGGCCAUGGACCACCGGAGGGCCAUUGGAGGGGAGAAAUAAUGGUCCAUAGUGCCAUAUUUUGUGAUGUUCAAGGAGUAGCUGUGAAUGGCCUCAAUGAAGAAUGCGAGAAGUCUGAACAUGAGAUACAGGAGGAGGCCCUGAUACGACAAGAAUGUGGCUUCACCUACAGGGGAUGCAUUUGAGAUUAAGGUCUGUGUGGAGGUGGGGGAGGAAGACUGCAGGAGGCUGUAGAGGGGUGGAUUGGGUGAAGGGGGACUUGACAACACUACCAUGCAAGCUGGGCUAAGAUAAUGUAUGAUUGGUUUUGUUACGCUCAGAGGGAAGGGCAAUCCCAGAUACGUUGUAGAGGCGCUGUUUUGGCCUGGCCGUAGUGAGUUUCUUUAUGUGCACCAUUUAAUUCUGCAUGUUUUCGUAUAUAAUACAUGAUGAUUAUGUUGAGUUUAUGGCUGAAAACUUGUUAUAUUCAAUAGCGACAUUUGAAAUUUGGCGUGCACGGUGAUCUCGGAUACGGUCCGGGGCGCUGUUUUGGCCCGGCCGUAGUGAAGGGGUUAAGUGUAUCUAUGAAGGCUAAUUAUCUAUAAGUAUUUAAGUGUAAGGUUCUGUGGGGUAACUAAUCUAAGUGUAAUGGUGCAUUCUGUGGGAAUUACUUAAGUGUAAUCUAUGAAGGCUACAUCUAUAAGUAUAUAAGUAUGUAAGGUCCUGUGGGGUAACUAAUCUAAGGUUAUGUACAACUACUGGUUCUGGUGCUGUGGGUAACUCCUACAAACCCUUUCUACUAUGGCUAUUAAUUAACAAAAACCUCUUACUUUCAGCUUGUGUACUGGGUUAAAAAAUAGUUAAUGUUAGAGUUGGAAGUGUCUGACAGUCCCAUCUCUUUCUUACAGGCCAAACACUGCAGAGGAGGAGGAGAAGAAGGAGGAAGAAGAAGAAGAAGAAGGAGGAG